UAUUACUUUAUGGGUAUGACUUAUUUUUUUCUGAAUGUAUGUACACACAUCCUGUACAUACAGUACCCUCAAUGGUUACAGAUAUCAUUUGAUCUUCUGGCACUCUAUUCACAGAAGAUUUUGAGCAACCAUAUGAGUGCUGGGAAAUCAAUCCAGACUCCCUGCAUGAGUAACAAGUGCCCUUAGCCAUUUCACCAUCUCUUUAGGACAGAAUAAUUUUAUUAUAUCAAAACAUGACUGAAAAUAGCAGAAUACUUGCUUAUGGUUCCCCAUGCUCUAGCUACCCAGGGUUACAUAAAAUAUUUGUGAUACUUGGAAGUAAAAUAUGUUGUUUUAUAUAUGAGCAUAAGACCAAAUAUGAGGCUGUCUCAUUAAUUAACUAAUUAAUUAUUUAUUACACAUUACAAACAUUGUACAGAUAAACAACUAACAAAUUCUCCCUCUUGGUGAAAAACAGUCUUCAUAAUCUACAUGGAUAUUGAUCGACGAAGCACAGAAACUUCUCAGCAUACCAAUGCAUUUUUGUCCUACUAGGCAAGACCAAACAAAAAUAUUCACUUGGUUUGCCCUUAUGAUAUUAUACAAUACUAAAAGCAAACUAGACCACUCAAAUUAUGAGUGAAUAAUACAUUCAGAAACAGAACAUGUAGUAAUAUUUAAUGACUAUGUCUUAAUUUUAAUUGUAAAUCUGAAGGAAAUAAAAUAAAAACAAGCUUACUAAUUUUAUUUCUCACAUGGCAAAAACUCUACUAUUAUCAAGCAGGGGAGGGGUUUUCAAGGAAAGAAAAAAAAGAACCUCCUAUCUUAAAAAUAUUGGAAAUUUAGCUUAUUUCUAUUGCUGGUUAGAGAGGGAAAAUUUUUUAGAAUUGGAAUACUAUUAGAAAGUCAAUCAAUGAAAAUUUAAUAUUAAACUUUCCAGCUGAAAACUUUGUAAUAUAAGAGAUAGAACUGCCCUCAAGACUUAUGAGUAAAACUUAAGAAAAUAAAGACUAUAUAUUUGAUCUGGUCCU
rnacentral:lncRNA from 1 species